CCUUUUAUUAUGCCCAUUACUAUCUUCUCUUUAUUAAUCAUUCAAUGUUUUUUUUUCUAUUCUUUUGUCCAUAAUUAGUCUCUAUUUUAUAAACACUAUCCACAUCAUCCAGCCGCGGUGGAAUUCAGACACUUAUUUUCAUAAGUAAAAAAGAUUGGGUACAGGGAGGGACCAAAUAUUCAACAAGUAAAUAAGUCUCUCCAAUUCAACCCAUUGUACAUGCUUUAUAUAUUUAAAUAAUAAUUUCUAUGUUAAUGCUAUUUGCAACAAAAAAUGUCCAACCUAAAGUAAAUAAACUAUUUGUGAGCUAUAUACUUUGGUGACAGCUAUGUAAACAAGCAAUGUGAUAUUUACACAGUCCAACCUUAUAUAAACAUACUUAAUUUUGAGUUUGAUGUGAUAUUUUUACAGUGCAACCUUGAUCAAAUUUUAUUUUUAUCACAAGUGUUUUGUACAUCUGCCAAAUGCUAUUAUAUUGCAACCAUUGAAUUUCAUAUAAAGUUUUUUGAAAG
rnacentral:lncRNA from 1 species